rnacentral:rRNA from 1 species
AGAGUUUGAUCAUGGCUCAGAUUGAACGCUGGCGGCAGGCCUAACACAUGCAAGUCGAACGGUAGCACAGAGGAGCUUGCUCCUUGGGUGACGAGCGGCGGACGGGUGAGUAAUGUAUGGGGAUCUGCCUGAUGGCGGGGGAUAACUACUGGAAACGGUAGCUAAUACCGCAUAAUGUCUACGGACCAAAGCGGGGGACCUCCGGGCCUCGCGCCAUCAGAUGAACCCAUAUGGGAUUAGCUAGUAGGUGAGGUAACGGCUUACCUAGGCGACGAUCCCUAGCUGGUCUGAGAGGAUGACCAGCCACACUGGAACUGAGACACGGUCCAGACUCCUACGGGAGGCAGCAGUGGGGAAUAUUGCACAAUGGGCGCAAGCCUGAUGCAGCCAUGCCGCGUGUAUGAAGAAGGCCUUCGGGUUGUAAAGUACUUUCAGCGAGGAGGAAGGCGUUGUGGUUAAUAACCGCAACGAUUGACGUUACUCGCAGAAGAAGCACCGGCUAACUCCGUGCCAGCCGCCGCGGUAAUAC